rnacentral:rRNA from 1 species
UUUCCGUAGGUGAACCUGCGGAAGGAUCAUUCAGGAUGACAGUGUUGGGUUGAGUCUCUCCCCUGUACACACCGUCUGUCUUCGUGCACUUUACUUAUUUAUCUUUUUUAUUUAACCUAUAUUUAUCUCAAUAAACCUAAAAACCAACAAUCCUAAAUAUCAAAACUCGUGGCGGUGGAUGCCUCGGCUCUGGUAACGAUGAAGAACGCAGCGAAAUGCGAUACGUAAUGCGAAUUGCAGAACCCGUGAAUCAUCGAAUUUUUGAACGCAAGUGGCGCUCGCGGGCAAUCCUGCGAGCAUGUCUGUUUGAGUGUCCGUUAUAGAAAGAUUUUUGUUCCUUUUGAACGCGUUUUGCGCUGUUUGGGGAGCUGCUGUUGGGCGCACGAAUGUGUAGUCCGGGGUGGUCACUUUGUGUCUGCCGCGGUCGCCUGAAGAAUAGAGUGUCGGGAAGGUUGCACGGUGAGUGGAACUAUCUGGUCGGUCUCCUUUUUGGGGAGGUUGGGCUCGGAACGGCGUUGUGAAGUGAUGAAAAUUACCGGAAGCAAGGUCGGGCUGGGUUUGAUUCUGGAAACGGACGAUAGGGUGGCGGAACGAGCUGGGUGAUACUUUCUGGUCUUGAACUUUUACAACUUUUAGGAUCUCAAAUCAGGCAAGGCGACCCGCUGAAUUUAAG